rnacentral:rRNA from 1 species
UGCCUACGGGGGGCAGCAGUGGGGAAUAUUGGGCAAUGGGCGCAAGCCUGACCCAGCAACGCCGCGUGAAGGAAGAAGGCUUUCGGGUUGUAAACUUCUUUUCUUGGGGACGAAGAAAGUGACGGUACCCAAGGAAUAAGCCACGGCUAACUACGUGCCAGCAGCCGCGGUAAUACGUAGGUGGCAAGCGUUAUCCGGAUUUAUUGGGUGUAAAGGGCGUGUAGGCGGGAAUGCAAGUCAGAUGUGAAAACUAUGGGCUCACCCCAUAGCCUGCAUUUGAAACUGUAUUU